GGGGUUCCAUAUUAUGCGUAAUUAAUUAUAACAACCAACAUUUCCGCCUUCCAACAUUAUCCAAAAAGGUGUUCUAACAACCAGUAUUGGAGGGUAUUCUAUUUUCUUUUUUUUUUCUACGUUUACAUGGUUUCGAUUUUUAUGACUGAAAUAUAUUAAAAAAUAUCAUUUUUUUGCUUUUCUUUUCGUAUUCUCUGCUUCUCUGUUUCUUCUUUUGUUUUUUUUUUCUCUUUUUUGCAGGUACUCAGGGCGAUCAACGGUGCUGCGGAGCCACACUUUACCAUUUUGGUGAAAUGGUGGCAGAGGAGGUGUGCUUGCUGACAUGACAGAGGCGGCAGCUGGAAGGGCUGUUGUCAAGACCACAUGCAACUGUUGAACACCUUUCUCUGGUUGUCUGAAGCAAAAGUUUAAUGAAGGAAAAAAAACCCAAAAAGAAAGAAAAUUACCGAGAAGAAGAGAGACGAAUAUAUCAUUGUGGAGAAGUUGCAGGAAGCUCAACAUCAGUUUGGACAUUUGUUUCUGCAUUUAUACGGCCUCUCAUACAUUUACACACAAUUCCAGAAGUUAUAAAGACAGCAAGAAGCAAAGCCAAAGUUGCCCAUUUCCCAUUAAACUUGAAUGUUUCAGAGACGGUAACACUCAAUUGUUGACGAGGAGUUAUUGUUUGCCUCCAUUUAUUUUUCAAGUCUCUAAUGAAAUGAAAAUGGAAAUGGCUAGAGGGUAAGCUCUAAUGGAUUUUGUAAUUUUUGAACUGGCUAUGAGAAAAUGGCAAUGGCAGGGGAGGGUCUUGUUUUAAAGAGGAUGAGGGUGUUCCCAUGGGCUUAACGGUGUAAUAAUUAAACAUGACUUUUGAAAGCUACACAUGGGCUUCCAAAUUUGCUGAUUUUUCAAAACCUACUUAAUAAAUUGCAGAAAGUUGAUUCUAGAAUUAAUGUUUAAAAAAACGAUGGUGAAUCAUCUUAAAACAUCUCCAUUUUUUGUUUUAAGAUGAUGAAUCAUCUCCAUUUACUUGCCCAAGUAAAUGUGUCGGCAACCUUAGACGUUGGUUGGCCAUUGUUCUUAAGAUAAUACUCCUAACAAAGUUUCAUGAUAUGCAUACGUUAGAACCGUAAAAUAAUAUUUGAUAUAAAACUUAACAAACCAUAAAUUAGGAUUUGUCAUGUCAAAUUAUCAAGAACAAAAUUAGAUGCGGAAAUAUAUCUAAAUUUAUCGAUUUCUUGAAAUUUACAGAUCUUUGGAGUUUUUAUCUUCCAAAUUAGCACACAAGAAAUUUAGAGAAUAUUUGCGCUCUUUUCUAAAGAUCAGAUAAUUAAAAAAAUUUAUUUUGUGUAUAAUUUGGAAUCAUAAAUCUAAUAUAUAACUUUUGCACAUUAACCCUAAUUUCUAAUCAACCCAUCAUCAAUUAGAAAUUAGUUAUUAACGUAUCUACACAUAUUUGGCCCAUACUUUAUAAAUAACUAAAGCCCAAUAAAACUUUACCAAAUUAGAUCAUAUUCAAUUUGGACUAAUAUUUUAUAAUAGUAAAUAAUAACAUGUAAUUAUUUCUAUUAUAUUUGAUGGCAGUAAAAUCGCUUAAAAUUGAUAGAUCAAAGACAACAUAACAAAUAGUUUGUGAUGGUAAAACACCAUACACCUUACUACAACAAGAGUCUCAUUCAUAUAUAAUUCAACAACUCAAUUAUUCAUUACUAAAACUUGGUAACAAACAUAGUUCAUAUCAUGAAUGCGUUCUGAAACAAUUACCUGUUUGAAAUUCGAGAAAAUGAAAAUAAAUAUGUUAAUGGGUAAGAAGUAUAGAGUAACUCAAAAUUCAUUUCGAAGCUACUUAUCAUUACAUAUUUUAUGAAUAAAAUGUGAUGCAAAGGAUAAACGACCAAAUAAAGUAAUCAAUUAAAAGAAAGCAGAACUUGUGGAACAUCAAUUUACAUUGCUCCAAGUCUUAUUAUAUAAUUAGGCAAUACAAGCAUCAGAUUUUGCAUCAAUUAAACAUACUUGAUUGCAACAACUUCAAAUCUACUCAUCCUUUAAAUGAUUUAAGGAUUCUUUUUCUUUUAAUCAUCCUUUAAAUGAUCUAAAGAUUCUUUUUCUUUUAAAAUUCCGAUCAUAUACACAUUGUACCAUACAUUUUUAAGGCUUUUUACAAUAAAAGUAGGAUUCAAGAGACAACACGGAGGGCUAAGCUAAGAAUUUUAUGUAAAUUAUAAAAUGAUAAAAAAGUUUUGAGGGAUUUGAAUUUUAAAUAGGCCACGUUUGCUUUUUUGGUAUAACAUAUAUGAAUUAAUUUACUUAUUGUUUCAAAAAAGAGAAUAAAAUGUAACUUGAUUUCUCUAAAAAAAAUUUAAAGUAAAAAUACCCAUGAUUUCUCUCGAAGUGAUCCAUAAAAGACACUAAAACAGCACAUAAUUUCUUUCCGAAAUGAUCCAUGAAGACACAAAUCUCCAUGUAAUAUAUACAUCUAUAUCAGGGACUAUGCGCAAGUAAUAUAUAUAUAUAUAUAUAUUAUCAACAAACUCGGGGCCAUGCACCGAUUUAAGUUAUAUUUUAGAGGAAUUGGAUCAGUUCUAUAGAUGAACACCUUUUAGGUUUUGUGUUGGAGGAAAGCUGCUUGAGAAAGUUGAUAAAAAUGAAAAAAAAAUGAACACAUUUUGACCCACCUAUAAUACGUUCAUUUUGGGUUUUUUUUUCUAUUUGCUUAUUUGGUUUAGAUAGUUGAUUAUCAGUUUUGAAUAUUCUGAACAAAUCCCUGUAUGAACUCAUUUCAUUUUGAUUCUUUUGUUAUGGCUUCUUCAUGUAUUUUGCCAUUUUUUUCACACAGAUACUUCCUGAGUUAGUUUUAUUAAAGAUUUGAAUUAGAUACUUCCUGAAAUAACAAGCAUUCAAGAUGAUCAAAGUGAACAUCUUAGUUAUAUAUAUAUAGUAUCUAAAAACACUGUUAAUAAAUGUGUUCAUAUUUGAUGCAAAGCAAUGAAGCAAAAUAUUUUAUUAGUAACAAUUUCUUUGCUGUUAAGAAUGUACAAAUCCCCAUAGCUUGAGAGCUUCCAAAUGAAUCUGAUGUUCUUCCUAUCACAACUUCUUGUGUAAUGCAUAUCAUAUAAUUAUUUCUUACAAUUUAAAAUAUGUUUCUAUUUUGCCAAUCAUGGGACUACAUAUUAAUUUCAAAGGCUAUUUUUGGCUACAAUAUACAUAUAUAUAAACCAACCAUCAGGUAUAGUCUAUUGCCAUUAGUGAAUGUAUCGGAUAUUAAGAGUGAAAUAUAUAUUACAAACAACACAUCUAUAUAAAAUCAAACCAGACACUGAUAAGUUCUAAUCAUAUAAUAUAAAACACUACUACAAAAGUACAACCAGUUUUAAACAUUUCUUUGAACUUUUUACUAACUGCAAUAAUUGGUUGCGGGCUUUCUUUUUCUGUGUCACAGUUAGGGGAUCCAUAUUUAUUAUGAGCUUUUCCAGAAUCAUUGCAUUAUCCAAGAAAUAACUAACCAUUUCAAUCAUAUGUGUGUUGAAGCAUGAAAUUUCAAUCUCUUUGGGGUGAAAUGACAAACAAGAAGGAACUUCUAAAGCCUUCCAUUGAGUUCCCGCAACAACCUAAACUCAUGACAAAAAGAAAAAAAAAGUUAUUUGGUUUGUACCAUGAAUUUAGGUGAUCUCGAACAUGCUUUUGAUUUCUUGUAAGUUUAUGUAAUUGUGGAUGUAAUUGACACUAAAACAAUCAACUGCAACAAAUACAUGUACAUAUACAAAGAUUUCAUACCGGAAAAUCAAGGGUAAGUAUCUUUAGAUUAGGCAUACGAUGUAGAAACUCCACAAGCCAAAUUUCUCUCCCAUUAAAACCACGGCCAAGAAAUUCGAAUUCAAUAAGAUUGUGAAAUAUAGGAAGUCGACUUGUUCGGAAAAUCUGCACACACAAACUUGGAGUUGUAAUAUAAUGUUAAAAAGGAAAAAAAAACACAUGAAUACUAAGUUUACUAACCCCUUCAUUAAUGGUUAAACGUAGAGACCGUACAUUGCAAAUUCUUUGAAUAAGAUGAGUUGCAAUUGUUUGAGAAUCAAUGGCAUCACACCCGCAGAUAUUAAUAUGAGCUUUUUCUAGAGACUUCAUGGUACUCAAAGUAUAACCUUGAGCUACAAUGUCAGUAUAUUGAAAAUAAACAAGAUUUGGAGCAUUAAUCACCACCACAUACUUUAAAUCUCCGAAUUCUCGGAGAUCAAAAUCUAAAAUAAAUCUCUUAAGCGAAGGAGUUUGGAUAUUGAUCUCACUUGUAUUAUAAAAAUCACAUUCAAUAAAAGCCAAAUCUUCUAAGACAUGGCAAUUGGAAAUGAACCUAAGAAUGGAAUCACCGAAAUUUGAGUCUCUAAAGUGCAAAGUCUUCAGAUUCCCUAAACAAACGUCAGAUGGGAACUUAAACUUAUGACCUACUGCAUCCAAUUUCAGUGUCACCAGUGAGCCGCAUGUGAAUAAAACAGCUGGUAAAAUAUCCUCAAGAUAACUUAUCUGCAAAUCAAUUUCCUUAACACCACGGCACAAUGCAGCACAUAUCCAACCAGAGAUAUCAAAAUCAUGAUCUCCAUCAUUCCAUGAACAAAUCUCAUGACUUAGCCUAAAGCAAUCUAAACUUACCUGAUCGGGGGAUUUCAAUAACCUAUCAACAAAGUUCUUGAAGCUGUCAAUAUUUCUGUCAGUCAAACCACUCAUUGAAUAAGCAUCAAAUUUAAUGGUAGAAAUUGAAGCAAAGAGGUAUCUCCACUUGGUUGAAAUAAUAGAGGUUCGAACUGCUUCUUUAAUGGGAAGGAAUGACAAAAUAUGACAAAGAAUAGGAUCCGGAAAACUACUGAUCCUGUCUUCGACACACAUCGCCAUAAGAUAAGAAAACUACAGACCGGUCCGACGGCAGGCGAUAGGAACCAGAGAGUUUUUCGCUUUUGUUUUGUUAUGUCUGCCUUGGGAGCAACUUUGGAGACUUGAGAAUAGAGGAGGCCACACAGGAUCGUAUUUGUAGAAGAAAGAAAAAGAAAAGUCUUUGCUUUGCGGAAGCGGCUGGAUAUGCGAAAAUUUAGUGUUAAAUGUCAAUAUUUCCCUACUUUUAUAUAAGAUUUAAGGUUAAUAUCAAAAUUGGUCCCUUAACUUUUACCUAAUCUAUGGGCAUUUACCAUCGAUCUGGUGGUUUAAGUAUUCGUAUUCGUUACAAGCAAUUAAUUGAUUUAGUGUAAGUUACCUUAUCAGAAUUAGAAUUUUUUAUCAUAUUAAUUUCUACUCUACCUUACUCGAGUUCAUUCUCGAGGGAAUCCCAUUUCAUUUAAAGCAUUUCGCUGGAUUCCUUACUCUUUAUUUUCUAAUCUCGUUGGAAAUCAUAUAAAGACACUUUCUAUUUCAGAUAGCUAUUUGUGCAAGUAUUUUACGAUUCAGAACCAACUGUUUCUUGUACAUAUUAUGUAUUAAUCUACUAUAACUGUAGGAUACCCCCACUCCGCUAAUUACUGCAUUUAUUCAAGUGAUCCAAAAACGACGAAAAUCCCUUUUUUUUUCCUAUCUCUUUCUCGAUGAACCCAAACCAAAGCUCUUAUUCUUUAUUAAGUAAUAGUUCGAGUAAGUCUUGAAUGAGCCCCUCGAAAGCUUGAUGCAAAUAAACUAUUUUUUGUUCGACAUCUACGAGCUAUAUAUCCCCGUUUAAUUUUGGUCAUUGAAUAAAAGAAAUUUUGACGAAUAACUAAUUCUUUCUUUUAGUUAUUCUUUUCUAGUCUAUUAAUAACAAAACUGAUUCUUCCAAUAUAUAAAAUAAAAAUUCCAAUGGCUUUUGCUACUCUAACCAUCCCGGCCAUGAUUUUUCCUUUUUUUUAAGCAUUUCAUUUCGCUCUGAAAUAAGAAAUUGUAUUGAUACUAGGUAUAAAAAAAGCAUAUUAACUAAAAUAAAUGAGUAAAUAGAUAUGGAUCAAUAAAUAAUGGGUUCCAUCGUUUCUAUGGUUACUUCUUAAAUGGUGAGGUUCUCUCUAUAAACUGGAGCUCAUUUCUUCAUUUAAUUGGUAACUUGUACAGUUCACACUCUUCGGCUCUACUCAUAAAUUUUCCAGUAAUAGAUUUUUCAAACUCUCAAGAUGGUCAAAUAUUUUAGAUUUUAGUUUUUUUCAAAGCUUAAUGAUAAAUUUGGCCACUAAUAUUUGCAUGCUCUGUCAAAAUGACCCUAAUGGUAAAAAAUAAUGUUUGCAGGUAUAAUGGAAAUUUUAAAAGAAAUAAAUAUAUAAAAGAAAUAAGACAUGUGACAAAUUUAUAACUCUAAUUAUGGCGUAAAAAAGUGUACUGCAGUGUAUCAAAUAGCACUCACCCUAAAAUUAUUGACUAAUUAAACAUUUUAUAAAAAAAUUUAAUGUGUCAACAAAUGAUUAAGAAAAACAUUGACACUUAAUAUUAAUCACCACUAAGUUAUAAAUUAUUAAUUAUAAAAUAAAGAGAGAUGGAGAAAGUAAAGAACAGAGAAAAUAUGAAAGCAAUAGAGGAUGUGCUUUAUUGAUAAAAAAAGAGUAAUUACAAUGCUUCAUUAGAGUCUCUAUAUAUAGACAUAAAAAGUAUUAAACAAGUAGAGAUCUAAUUCUAAUAACUAUUAGAAUUUAAAGGACAUUAAAACCUUAUCUUGAUCAUGAUGGACAUCUACUUAAUAAUAUAUUCAUAGCUCCCCCUUGGAUGUCUAUUGGUAGAUAAUGUGCCUUGUUAAAACUUUAUUAGGAAAAACCCUGUGGGAUAAAAACCUAAUAAAGGAAAAAGAGUACACAAUCUAUAGUAUAUAUGCAUAAUAUGGUGCCUCAUUAAAAAUCUUACCAGGAAAACUCAAUGGGACAAAACCUCGAUUAAGGGAAAAAAAGUGCAACACGUAUUUACUCCCCUCAUAAAAACAUCACAUAUUUUCUCAUAUUUUAUGUAUUCAAUCUUAAAUCCUAGUUUUUCAAAUGACUAUUUAAAUGUAUUUACUAAGCAUUUAAGUAGAGAGAGAAGUACAUUUAAAAACCAAAGGAGAAGUACACAAUAGAUGCACCAGCAUUCCAAUAUUACACGAUUAGGUUAAGCACAUGACAUGAACCAGCAAAAAUAUUAGAAACAAACAGCAGGAGCAUUAGAGUAAAAAUAUUCAACCAAACACACAAGGCUCCAGCAGAAGCAAUUAAAAAUCAUUAAAUUUAUUAAAAAUAUUUUAUAGAUUCGUAUAAUCGCAGAAGCAAAAGCCUGCAUUAGAGAGAGGUUUUUUUUUUAAUUAUUACAUAUUCGUAUAAUAGUAUAACAUCUCCUCCAGCAGUAAUAGGCUCGUUGACCUGCAAACCAAAAAAAGAUUAGUGAGGAAUCAGUUCCAUUGUUGAUAAAUUAUACAGUCUUAUUGUCACAAGUUGGCUAUCCGGUUUUGAAAAUAAAGUUGGAAUAUGAUUACUUUUUAUUUGUAUUUAUGUUUUGGAGAUUAUACUACAUGCACGCAUUUUAUGAAUUAGUAAAAUUAUAUUAAUGGAGAUCCCCCUUGCAAAAUAUAUUAAAAUGAAAAAAAGAAAAAAGAACAUGCAACAAACUUCGGCUUCGGAAGGGUUUAUGUUUAUCAAUGUUUUGGGGUUUAGAGGACUCCAGGAAAAAACCAGUUUCAAUUUAAUAGCGCAAGAAAAUGUGGGGUUGCAAGGAAAGGUUAUAAGAACAUGAAAAGAAAGAUUAGAUAAUUUGUUAUUAAACCUGCUUAAUUAGAUCUUCAAGGGAACUAAUUUAAAGUUUAGGGGUUUAAUUAAAUUUUUUAAAGAAAUGGAAAUGAAUGAGAGUUUCCAAAAAUUGGAAAGAGAUAAUAAAAAAAAGGCAUCUUUUUGGGGUUAAAUAAGGGUCUUUUGGCUGGGAAAAAAACUCACUUGGGAUAAAUCGGCAGAUUGUAGAGAUGAUGAAUUGAUGUUAUACGAGGAAAUUAGCUAACAGGUGAUCUGUUACAGGAGAAGAAGAGAUUCCUAACAGCUACUAGGUUGGCCGGAGAAACUCCACCAGAGCCUGGUGAUUGAAAAGGUCGACGAGCGUUAUUCCCGAGGAUUGAAAAGGAAUAUGCCAUACAAACGAGAUGAACAAUAUUUAGUACAGUGGUAUGGGUAUAAUUAAUUAUAUAUACGGAGGAUCAUCCCCCAUAGUUUCAUGUUAUACUUUAAUACAUAGUUUCGAAUAUGAAUACCUUUUAUUUGUACUUAUGUUUUGAAGAUUAUACUACAUGCACGUAUAUUAUGAAAUAGGAAAAUGAUAUUAAUGGAGAUCCCAUUGCAAAAUAUAUGAAAGAACAAAACGAGAUGACAGAUAAAAACAAUUUGGACCAGUAAGAUAAUGAAGGAAUAACUAAGCAACUAUGGCUCUUCUACUGUGUUUCAUUGGUGUGGUCAUUAUGGCUUGCUAGAAAUGAACUGCUUAAUAACAUUAACAAAAAUUGGUUUUGGAAAGAUGGAAAGGUUUAUCAAAACGAAAUACCAAAGAAUUGGUUUUGGAGAAGUUUAGCAAGAAAGCUGUGGGAGAAAGGGAAGGUGGGUUCCUGGUUUUCGAUUUCAUCCAUUUGAGGAAGAGCUCGUAGCGUUUUUGUCUUAGACCAAAAGUUGACAGGAAGCCCCUCAGAAUCGACCUAAUCAAACGCAUUGAUAUUUACAACUUUGAUCCCUGGGAUCUCCCAAGUAUGUUCUAAAAUUCGGUUAAUAUACGAGAUUGCACCGGUGCCAACACAACCCACAACAUCACCAUUAAAACCAGCAAGGAAAAAGGUCGACGGUAAGAAUCCAGUGGGUCUCGUUUUAACCCACCCAUAUUUUUGGGGCAAAGAACCGGUUACCGAUGAGGUUAUGAAUCCAGCCAUAAGGGCGAAAAUGGAAGGGAUUGGCAAUUGGUGUAGCUGAAAAGGAUAUACUGAGAUAUAGAGGGUCUUAUUUUUGGUACAUAGUCAAAACGAUGGGGUUUUAGGUUUGUUUAAAAGUUGGGAGAAAAUUUUUUUUAGAUGCCUUAAAAAUUGAUAAACAAAUUUUUUGAGUCCCUUCAAAAUGGAAAAAUAAUAUUUUGAACUCUUUUCAAUUUUGGACGUUGGGCGGCUACAUCUCCGGACGACCUAGGGCCGGGCCUGCUGGUACAACUACGGAGAAGUUGAAGAACAGUGGGUGGGGUGGUGAAGUGGAGAUGAUGGAGGGUCAAGGAGAAGACCAUGGAGGAAAGCUUCAAAAGAUUGAAAUCUGAGACGGAAGAAAUAAGCGAAGAACAAAAGAAUAUCAGGGAAGGGCAAAGGCAAGUGAAAGAGAAAUUCGGAAUCAUCGAAUCCGAGUGCGAGGAAUUGAAGAGGGAAACUAGGCUCAUAAUCCAGCGAAGUGCCAGAAGUCAGGUUAAACUUUAUUGCGCGGAAGCGUGUGAAAGAGUAAAAUUAUUGUACUGAAAAAUCACACUAAGUUCAAUUCCCAGGAAAGAGAGGUGGAUCACGAGGAUCGCUUACAUACCAGAUCUUUCCUAGCCAGAAUAUCCCUCUAUCGUAAUUUAAUAGCGCAAUAAAUCACUACAAUGACACUUGCAAAAUAUGCAGAACAAAAAUAAAGAACACUAGAAUUUUAACGAGGUUCAGCAAAUUUUGCCUACGUCCUCAGGCACUACCAAAUAUAUUUCACUCCAAAAAUACAAGUGAAAGUUUACAAAUAGGGAGAGAGAACAAUUGCCUUAAGUAGAGAAUGGCAAGUGUGGGAUGAAGAAAGUAAGAAAUGGUUAGGCCUAUUUAUAGUUGAGGUUCAAGGAUCAACUUGCAAUGUCCCUAUACAAUUAGGGACCAAAAUUGCAAUUAUCCCAUGCCAACUUUUAACCCAACUUGCCAACCAAUUUUACUUUCUACUUUCGGUGCCCACCCUUUUUGACUUUUCAAACAAUGGGUGGGUUCCAAUAAACUUGCUCCUUUAAUUUUCUUUAGUAUAUUACAAAUAGUGGGAAGUCAUUAGCAAGGCUCUUCCUUAGAUCUUAAGGCUUUAACCAUGUGCCCCUUCCUUUGGGGUUGUUGACAGGUUAAAUUUGCUCUUAUGUGUUCCAUUUAAGCAAACCGCUAAGCUAAAGAAGUUGCAAGGGUCUUGAAACCCGAUGAAGAAGCACCAUUUUCUUUAAGGGUUAUUCUUCGAUUUUUGUGAAAAAAAAGAGUAAAUCUUGUUUCUAAUUUUCAAAAAAAAAAUUCAAGAACUUUAUUAAACUUUUUUUAAAUUUUAUUAACUUUUUUAUAAUUUUAAAACUUUUUUAAUAAUUAAAGCAAAAUUAAAAAGAAUAAGGGUCAAGUUGACAAAAAUUGUAAAAGUUGAGAGGCUAAAUUUAUAAUUUACUUAAUUUUUUAAUAAAGUUAAAAAGAAAAAAAAAUUAGGGGAGAAACUGGAAAUCAAAAAGUAAAAAUCUUAAUUUUAAAAAAAUAAAAAAAAGUAUAAAGAAUAUCCUCAAAAGUUAACAUUUCUAUUAAUCUGAAACAGUUAUUGAUCUUCUCUUCUCCAUGACCUUACUCUCAAACACAUUUCUGCAUUUGAAGUGUUUCGAUUUAAUAAAAGUUAACAAAAGAAAUCAUAUUAUAAUUAACAUUUUUUUUAAACAAAAACCAUAUUAUAUAAUUUAAUAAAAUUUAUGUUUUAAUUCCUAAUUUUUCCUUCUUGAAUUUGGUCGUUCUUCUGUAAAUAAAUUAGUAUAGUUUUCGGUUCAAGAUUGGUAUUGGUUUAAUUAUUUAUUUGUAUCAAAUUAUAAAAUAAAUUUUGAAGGUUAAAAUAUGCUUUAAGUCCUUAACCACUUCGUACAUUUAGAAUUUAGUUAUUUUACAUUUAUUUUAGUAAUUUAGUCUUUUUAUUUUUUAAAUUUAAUAAUUUAGGUCUAAUUGUUACUGCCGUUAAAUUUUUUCUAUUAAAAAUUAUAGCGUCACAUUUUGAAGUUUUAAAAAUAGAAGAAUAACCCUUAAAGAAAAUGGCGCUUCAUCGGGCUUGAAGACCCUUGCAAUAAAGAAGGUUGCGGGUCUUUGAAAAAUAGAAGGAAACCAUGCAAAAGAAAAAUGGAUAUGAAGACUUUUUUCCCUUCUGGGUACCCAUUUUUUAGAAGAAGGGAGAAUGAAGGUUUUGUUUGUUAGUUUUAGUUAUUAUGAAAAGUCAUGAGAGUUGAGGGAAUAUAAAAGAAGAAAGUGCGAAAAGUUGAAAUAGAAGGAAUUUUUUCAAUGUUUAUUAAUAUGAAAAUUAAAUUUUUAAUUGGUAAGAAUAAAUUCAUAGUUAAUUAUUGAUUAAUGUUAUGAAUAUAUUGUUAAGUGGAUGUCCAUCACGAUCAAGAUUAAAUUCUUAUAGUUAUUAGAAUUAGAUCUCUACUUCUUUUAUACUUCUUUUACCUAUAAAUAGAGACUCAGAUGAAGCAUUGUAAUUACCCAUUUUUAUCAAUAGAGUACAUCAUCUAUUGCUUUCAUAUUUUCUUUGUUCUUUAUUCUCUCGAUCUCUCUUUAUUUUAUAAUACGUUAUCAGUACUAUCUUGCUCAAAGUAAUAAUAGUUCCUUUCAUCGACGAUCAAAUUUAUCCUUCAUGAUUUUCAAUAUCUUUGAUGGCAAGAUGCAAAGUUUUUACACGAAGUUUUUACACGAAGUUUCUUUUAUUUAAUAUUUCAUAUCUGAUUAUUAUUUUUCUUUCCUCUUUCAUUAUAUGUGAUCAUUGUUUUGAUUAACUUAUUUUAUUUUUUGUUCUUAAGGACGGUGAAAGAUUUGAUAACGACUAUCUAUAUGAAAUCGAGAAGUAAGAUUCACUCUCAAAGUUUGCUUUUUGAUAUUUGUUUAGGGAUAAUCUUUUUUUAUUAAUUACAAAGGAUGUUUAUAAUCACUACUUCUCAUCCAUGUUAACGUAAGUCAAUCUAAUCAACUUCUUUUGAAAUUUGAUUUGAUUUCUAUUAAAAAUGUUCAAUUUAUAUAAUUCACUAUCCGUAUCUCUAUGAAUUUAUAAAACCCUUCACACAUUUAGUUAUUGAGAUUUUUAUGUGGAUAUAAAUAUUUUUUUUCAUUUUUAAUAGAAUUGAUUGGUUUAAUUUUGAUUUUGAUUAAGAUAUAUGAUUAUUGUGAAAUGUGAGUAAAAAUACUUACUUAUCAUGAACUUUGGGAUAUUCAUUUUAUCUGUGAUAAUUUCUUAUCAUUGUAAAGCUUUAGAUGAAAUUAUGUCAUAAGAGGUGGAGGUUAGACCAUGUUUAUGUUUAAACUUUUAUAGCUGUAAAGUUAUUUUAAUUUGACAUUAUAAAAUUUUGUAUUUUGUUGUGGUAUGAUAUAUAAAAUAUAUAUUAUCUAACUAUAGUGAUUUAUUAGUGACAUGAAUUUAUUAUUUGUUUUGUUUAACAUAUGUUAUAUUGAUAUCUAUUCAUUUUAUUUAUAUGAAUAAAUAAAAUUUUAUUUAUUUGAAUAAAUAAAAUUUUAUUUAUUUGAAAUUUUUUAUUUAUUGUUUUAUUAAAAAGUCAACCUAUUUUGACUAAUACAUCUUUUUAUAAUAAUAAUAAUAAUAAAAGCUGAAAAAGUUAAAAAGUAAUGAAAGAGAUUAUUCUCGUGCGGGAGAGAGAGUCGGUAAGCAAGACGACAAAUACCAUGACACGUGUUCAGUACUAAAGAGGGCAAAAGUGUGGGGCCAUCCUGGUCCAGUCCGUACGCAAGCUUUUCUUUUUUAUUAAAUCAUUAAAUAUAGAUUAUGCUAAAAAUAGGUGGGAAAAACAUACUGAUCUUUAGUACCAAAAAUAAAUAAAGAAGCUACAUCACACCAGAAUUAAUGGUUUCAAUUAGUUUGACCAAAAUAGAUCAUAAUUUUAAUUAGUGCGAAAAAAAAGUGGUUUAUUACUAAAAUAGUGCACAUAUGCUAAAAUUAGUGUGAAACCAACUACAUUGAUUUCAACACUAAAAGAUAAAAAUUGGUUUCUAAAGAAAAUCUAUGUAAUUGAUAAUCAAUUUAAUGGUUUGAAGUAUAAUUUGAACUUCCAAUUGACUACAUUAUUUUUAUUUCUACUGUAAAUUUUAAAAGAAUUUAUAAUAUUUUACUAUAAUAAAAUUCCACUUUAAAACUUACCUUAAUAUAAUCAUAUUUUAGUUUUUUUUAAUUCAAUUUAAUACAUAAGCUUUAAAAUCCUUAUUUAAUCUAAAAUCUUAUCUCUAAUUAUUUUUUUAAUGUGCCAAGCAUUUAAUUUCAAAAACAUUUUUCAAGGCGAAUUUUCAACAUAAUUAAUACGAAAUAUGUUUAGCAUUAGUUUCAAAACCCCCUUUCAAAGUAAACUAACUUUUUAAACUUCCUUCUAAAAAAACUUUUAAGUUAGAAGGAUCCAUGAAAAAGAAAUUUUAGAAACUUAAUUUAAUGGAUAAAGUCGAACUUAAAUUCUUCUCUCCAUCCAAUUAUCCAAAGCCAUUCAUUUGAAAGCUCUGUUUCUACUGACGUACCCUUGUCUCUUUCUCAAAAUUAGAGAAACAAGGGCAGGGGAAUGAAAAUCUGCAACUUGUGGUACAACUAAAACCUCACGUCAGUUGCCGAAAACUGCCAUAUGAUGUAUACGUGCAUGUUACAUAAAUAGUAAAUACUAAUGGAUAAAAUCGAACUUAAAUUCUCGUAAUUGGGUGGGCAGUUAAUUAUGUAAGUAGGAUAAAGGCAAUCCAACACCAGGAUUUGACAGUCCAUCCGAUUUCCACCUCGUGGCUCUGGAAAUACGGGCUUUCCCUUUCUCAAUACAUAUAAUUAAUUAGUAAUUAAGACUGGGGAUUAAACUGCUUGUCAAUUUAUGAAAUCCCGUCUUAAUGCGAGUUUGAGGUCUUAAUACAAAUUUAGUAUCGUGAGAUGACUGAUCAUUGGUCCCAUAAAAUUUCUUUUUAUUGAUACCUAUUAUUUGUUACGUUUAAUAUAUACCUGUUCAUUUUAUUUUUAGAUGAAUAAAUAAAAUUUUAUUUAUUUGAAAUUUUUUAAAUAUCAAGAUUUAUAGAAUUAAACCAUUAAAAGAAAACUAUAAUAUUAUAAUUAUCUAUGAUAAAACUCAAAAAUAUUCGAACAACAUUUUUUGAAAGUUUUGGAGCAGCUUAGACAAGACAUACGUUUUCAUAUAUACGUUUCGGAAGCCAAAUUAAUUCGGUGAUUCAAUUCCUCUGUUAUUUGGAGAUUUUCCGCUUUACGCAAUCUCUUUAUUUCUCUAUUUUUAUUGUUUCCUUUUAUUAUUUCAACACUGCUUCCCCAUCUUCAUUCUUCUUUAUAUUUUAAAACUAAUACUUUUAUUUUUAUUUUUUUCCAAAAAGAAAAAGGGUUUAUGUAAAUAUAUACUUACAAAUUAAUAUAGAAUUGAAUCGGAUUAAUUGUACUAUUCAAGUUGAAAAGGGUUUUGGAGAAGUUUAGCAAGAAAGUUGUGGGAGAAAGAGAAGGUGGGUUCCUGGGUUUCGAUUUCAUCCAUCUGAGGAAGAGCUCGUAGCGUUUUUGUCUUAGACCAAAAGUUGACAGGAAACCCCUCAGAAUCGAGAAAUUCUGAGAUGGAAGAAAUAAGCGAGGAACAAAAGAAUAUCAGGGAAGGGCAAAGGCAAGUGAAAGAGAAAUUCGGAAUCAUCGAAUCCGAGUGCGAGGAAUUGAAGAGGGAAACUAGGCUCAUAAUCCAGCGAAUUGAAGAGUGGGAAGUCAUUAGCAAGGCUUUUCCUUAGAUCUUAAGGCUUUAACCAUGUGCCCCUUCCUUUGGGUUGUUGACAGGUUAAACUUGCUCUUAUGUGUUCCAUUUAAGGAAACCACUAAGCUAAAGAAGUUGCAGAGUUCAUGAACCAGGGUAAGGCAAGUAGCUGUAAGAAAGCAACAAAAGAAGAAGAAGAUGGUGGCUUUGUUGUUGGACGGCUGCUUAUUGGUCAUUAUGGUUGGCUAGGAAUGAACUAAUUUUCCAGAGAAAGAUUUUGCCUAUCGAUGAAAUUAUCUUCCUAACCAAUCAUCGAUCAUUACAAAGAAUAUAGAAACCUGUUUCAUUACUUAAGGCCAAAUUUGGGGGUAAUGGGGGGUGUUGUCAAGACCACAUGCAACUGUGGAACCCCUUUCUCUGGUUGUCUGAAGCAAAGGUUUAAUGAAGGAAAAAAAAACCCCAAAAAGAAAGAAAAUUACCGAGAAGAAGAGAGACGAAUAUAUCAUUGUGGAGCAGUUGCAGUUGCAGUUGCAGGAAGCCCAACAUCAGCUUGGACAUUUGUUUCUGCAUUUAUACGGCC
rnacentral:lncRNA from 1 species